GAUGAAGAACGUAGCGAAAUGCGAUAAGUAGUGUGAAUUGCAGAAUUCAGUGAAUCAUCGAAUCUUUGAACGCACAUUGCGCCCGCCAGUAUUCUGGCGGGCAUGCCUGUCUGAGCGUCGUUUCGACCCUCGCGCCCGGCUUCUGUCGGGGGCGGUGUUGGGGAUCGGCCACACCCUUCAGUGGGAGGCCGGCCCCUAAAUUCAGUGGCGACCACGCUGUAGCCUCCCCUGCGUAGUACUAAAACCACCUCGCAGGCGGAGAGCGGUGCGGCCCGCCGUAAAACCCCCCAACUUUUACAAGGUCGACCUCAGAUCAGGUAGGAAUACCCGCUGAACUUAAGCAUAUCAAUAAGCGGAGGA
rnacentral:misc_RNA from 1 species